rnacentral:rRNA from 1 species
GACGAACGCUGGCGGCGUGCUUAACACAUGCAAGUCGAACGGAAAGGCCCUGCUUUUGCGGGGUGCUCGAGUGGCGAACGGGUGAGUAACACGUGAGUAACCUGCCCUUGACUUUGGGAUAUGUUCAGGAAAGUGGGGCUAAUACCGGAUAGGAGCUCCUGCUGCAUGGUGGGGGUUGGAAAGUUUCGGCGGUUGGGGAUGGACUCGCGGCUUAUCAGCUUGAUGGUGGGGUAGUGGCUUACCAAGGCUUUGACGGGUAGCCGGCCUGGGAGGGUUACCGGCCACAUUGGUCCUGAGAUACGGCCCAGACUCCAACGGUAGGCAGCAGUGGGGAAUAUUGCACAAUGGGCGGAAGCCUGAUGCAGCAACGCCGCGUGCGGGAUGACGUCCUGCGGGUUGUAAACCGCUUUCGCCUGUGACGAAGCGUUAGUGACGGUAAUGGGUAAAGAAGCACCGGCUAACUACGUG